rnacentral:misc_RNA from 1 species
GAAAUGCGAUAAUUAAUGUGAAUUGCAGAAUUCAGUGAAUCAUCGAGUCUUUGAACGCACAUUGCGCCCCCUGGUAUUCCGGGGGGCAUGCCUGUCCGAGCGUCAUUGCUGCCCUCAAGCACGGCUUGUGUGUUGGGCUUCCGUCCCUGGCAACGGGGACGGGCCCAAAAGGCAGUGGCGGCACCAUGUCUGGUCCUCGAGCGUAUGGGGCUUUGUCACCCGCUCCCGUAGGUCCAGCUGGCAGCUAGCCUCGCAACCAAUCUUUUUAACCAGGUUGACCUCGGAUCAGGUAGGGAUACCCGCUGAACUUAAUC